UGUCAAGGUCAUGGGGAUACAGAACAC
rnacentral:piRNA from 1 species